UUUAAAGUCUAAUCUGCCCUAUGAGGAGUUAAAUGGCCGCGGUACCCUGACCGUGCAAAGGUAGCAUAAUAAUUAGUUUUUUAAUUGAAAGCUGGAAUGAACGAUUGGACGAGAAAAUAACUGUCUCAAUUUAAUUUUUUUUUAGAAUUUUAUCUUUAAGUAAGAAAGCUUAAAUUUAAUUAAAAGACGAGAAGACCCUAUAGAGUUUUAUAUUUAAUUUAUUAUUGGUUUUUAAGUAUAGUUUUAUUAAUAUUAAUUUAAAUAUUCGGUUGGGGCGAUAGAGAAAUAUUAUUAACUUUUUUUACUUUUAUACCAUUAAUUUAUGAUUAAAUGAUCCAUUAAUUAUGAUUAAAAGAAUAAGUUACCUUAGGGAUAACAGCGUAAUUUUUUUUUAGAGUUCUUAUCGAAAGAAAAGAUUGCGACCUCGAUGUUGGAUUAAAAUGAAUAUUUGGUGUAGAAGCUAAAUAAUUAGGUCUGUUCGACCUUUGAAAUUUUACAUGAUCUGAGUUUAAACCGGCGUAAGCCAGGUUGGUUUCUAUCUUUAAUUUAUUUAAAUAUCUUAGUACGAAAGGACCAGAUAUUUAUAAUAAUUAUUUAAUUUUGAAUUGUAUUAAG
rnacentral:rRNA from 1 species